ACCCGUGAUCUCCAACUCUCACUGAAGCAGUUUGCAGCCGAGUGUGAAGCGGCUAGGAUGAGAAUCAGCACCUCCAAAUCUGAGACCAUGGUCCUCAGUUGGAAAAGGGUGGCGUGCCCUCUCCAGGUCGGGGAUGAGAUCCUGCCCCAAGUGGAGGAGUUCAAGUAUCUUGGGGUCUUGUUCACGAGUGAGGGAAGAAUGGAACGGGAGAUCGACAGGCGGUGCAGCGUCUGCAGUGAUGUAGCCUUUGUAUCGAUCCGUUGUGGUAAAGAAGGAGCUAAGCCGGAAGGCGAAGCUCUCGAUUUACCGGUCGAUCUACGUUCCUACCCACACCUAUGGUCACGAGCUGUGGGUCGUGACCGAAAGAACAAGAUCCCGGAUACAAGCGGCUGAAAUUAGUUUCCUCCGCAGGGUGUCCGGGCUCUCCCUUAGAGAGCUCGGUCAUCCGGGAGGAUCUCAGAGUGAAGUCGCUGCUCCUUCACAUCGAGAUGAGCCAGAUGAGGUGGCUGGGACAUCUGAUUCGGAUGCCCCCUGGAUGCCUCCCUGGUGAGGUGUUCCUGGCAUGUCCCACCGGGAGGAGACCCCGGGGACGACCCAGAACACGCUGGAGAGAGUACUGAAGAGAUGGAUGAAGUGGCUGGGGAGAGGGAAGUCUGGGCAUCCCUGCUAAAGCGACUCCCCCCGCGACCCGACCUCGGAUAAGUGGUAGAAAAUGUUCCCUCAGAUGGUACACUUCAUUGCACUGCCUAAACUCCCCUCGGCAAAAGAAACUGCUGAGGAGUUUAGGUGCUAUCGUCAGUCUGUCAUCUGGGUUUCAUCUCGGAACCAACGGACAAACGGAGAGGCUGAACCAGGAUCUGGAGACUGGGCGCCGAUGUCUCGCGUCACAGGAGCCACAAUCCUGGACUCAGAAGAUCAUUUGGGUCGGGUUCUCUAACAAUUGUGUCCCCUCUGCAUCCACUGGUCUAUCACCUUUUCACAUCGUGCCUGUUUACCAACCAUCUGUUUCCUGUCAUAGCCCCCCGAGUCCACAGUUCCAUCUGCAUUGGCCUUGGUGAGACGCUGCAGGAGGACCUGGGAGAAAGCCUGCCAAAUGCUGGUACGCCAAGGCCAGUCCUACAAGACUGCAGCUGACCGUAAGAGGACACCGGCCCCGAACUACAAGGUGGGUCAGCGGGUUUGGCUCUCCAGCAAGCAUCCAGCAAGGUGGAGUCCCGUCAGCUCGCUCCCAGGUUCGUUGGGCCCUUCCCCAUCACAAGGGUCAUCAACCCGAUCACCAUUAAGCUUAGGCUCCCGAGGUCGAUGCGCGUACACCCUGCAUUUCCCGUCAGCCUGCUCAAGCCUGCCCAGGAUUCCCCUCUGGUCCCGCCUUCCAGGCCCCCUUCACGGUCAGGCGGCUGUUGUCAUCUCGUCGGAGGGGGUCUGCAAUAUCUGGUGGAGUGGGAGGGCUACGUGCCAGAGGAACGUUCAUGGGUGCCUUCUAGAUUUGUUGUUGAUGACUCGCUCAUUCGGGACUUCCACAUUGCGCAUCCUGAGGCUCCAGGGCUGUCUGGAGCCGGCCGUUAGGGGGUGGGGGGUUACUGUCAUGGGUGUGUGUUAUGGUUGUUGUCUUCCCCCUACCUCGUACACACCUGUUCCUGAGAGCAUUUUGCCCACCUGUGCCUCGUUUACCCUAAUUACACAUGCAUACAACCUCGUGUCUCAUUCUUUCUGGUUUGCCAGUUCGUUGUACCCUGUUGUCACGUUCCAGCAUUCCUUAUUUUCAAGCCUA